GACCAGACUCCUACGGGAGGCAGCAGUGGGGAAUAUUGCACAAUGGGGGGAACCCUGAUGCAGCGACGCCGCAUGGGUGAAGGAGCACCUCGGUGCGUAAAGCCCUAUCGGCAGGGAAGAGACAGACGGUACCUGACUAAGAAGCCCCGGCUAACUACGUGCCAGCAGCCGCGGUAAUACGUAGGGGGCAAGCGUUAUCCGGAUUCACUGGGUGUAAAGGGAGCGUAGACGGCGACGCAAGUCUGGAGUGAAAGCCCGGGGCCCAACCCCGGGACUGCUCUGGAAACUGCGGCGCUGGGGUACGGGAGGGGCAGGCGGAAUUCCUGGUGUAGCGGUGAAAUGCGUAGAUAUCAGGAGGAACACCGGCGGCGAAGGCGGCCUGCUGGGCUUUAACUGACGCUGAAGCACGAAAGCGUGGGUAGCAAACAGGAUUAGAUACCCCAGUA
rnacentral:rRNA from 1 species